AUGCGGGAUGAACCGAACGUGAAGUUAAGGUGCCGGAAUACACGCUCAUCAGACACCACAAAAGGUGUUAGUUCAUCUAGACAGCAGGACGGUGGCCAUGGAAGUCGGAAUCCGCUAAGGAGUGUGUAACAACUCACCUGCCGAAUGAACUAGCCCUGAAAAUGGAUGGCGCUUAAGCGUGUUACCCAUACUUCACCGCCCGGGUAGAAACGAUGCCCGGGCGAGUAGGCAGGCGUGGAGGUCAGUGACGAAGCCUUGGGAGUGAUCCCGGGUCGAACGGCCUCUAGUGCAGAUCUUGGUGGUAGUAGCAAAUACUCAAAUGAGAACUUUGAGGACUGAAGUGGGGAAAGGUUCCAUGUGAACAGCAGUUGGACAUGGGUUAGUCGAUCCUAAGAGAUAGGGAAACUCCGUUUUAAAGUGCGCACUUGUGCGCCGUCCCUCGAAAGGGAAGCCGGUUAAUAUUCCGGCACCUGGAUGUGGAUUCUCCACGGCAACGUAAUGGAAAGCGGAGACGGCGGCGGGGGCCCUGGGAAGAGUUCUCUUUUCUUCUUAACAGUCUAGCACCCUGAAAUCGGUUUGUCCGGAGCUAGGGUUUUACGGCUGGUAGAGCCUGACACCUUUGUCAGGUCCGGUGCGCUCUCGACGUCCCUUGAAAAUCCGCUGGACGGAAUAGCUUUCACGCCAGGUCGUACUCAUAACCGCAGCAGGUCUCCAAGGUGAACAGCCUCUAGUUGAUAGAACAAUGUAAAUAAGGGAAGUCGGCAAAAUAGAUCCGUAACUUCUGGAAAAGGAUUGGCUCUAAGGGUUGGGUACGUUGGGCCUUGGUUGAAAGUCCUUGGAGCAGGUCGCCACUAGCCUCACGGCCGGCGGCUUCCAUCAUCGGGGUUCGGACGGCCUUGGCAGCUUUCUGGCGUCCGGCGUACAAUUAACAACCGACUUAGAACUGGUACGGACCAGGGGAAUCUGACUGUCUAAUUAAGACAUAUCAUUGCGAUGGCCAGAAAGUGGUGUUGACGCAAUGUGAUUUCUGCCCAGUGCUC
rnacentral:ncRNA from 1 species